UUACUUUGUCGUCUUCUUUUUUUUGCUGGAUACUCUUCUAAAAUCUAAAUACAGGCCGGGUGCGGUGGCUCACCCCAGUUCCCUCAUUUUUAUUUGCAGUGUCUGGCGUAAGAGAGGCACAAAGGACAUAUGAUGGAGGAAUAAUGAGGUGUUCUUGUUUGUUUCCAAGUAUCCAUGUGGUGUAAAGAGCCCUGGCUUUGUCAUCUGGCAGACUUGGGGCUGAAUCCAGGCUUGGCUCUGUCACCGACAAGCCCUGGGGCCCAUUCUCUAACUUUUCUGAGUCUCUAUUUCCUCAUAAAUAAAAUAGAACAACUACCUAACUGAGUUAAUCGAUAUAAAUAAAAUGUAUAAGAACAGUGUACAGAAACCAAUCACUGGAAAUAAAAGUCAUUCAAUGUA